GCCGGAAGAGUGGGCCGACAGGAUUUAAAAUCCUCCACGGUAGAGAUGAAAGAUUUCCAGCAUCCACAGAAUUUUGCCUUUAUUUGAGGUAGCUCCCAAGUCUACCUCAACUGGAACAGGAAUGAAUUCGGAUCAUUGAUACUGCUCUGACCUGCAGACCAGUCAUCUAGCCCAGGGAGCUAACCAGUCCCCUAACUGUAGAAUAAAAGGCACCUAUAUGAAGAAUUUAAAGUAGGAGAAAAUGGUUUUGCACCAAUAAACGAGUAAGAUAUAAAAUGGA